rnacentral:misc_RNA from 1 species
GAUGAAGAACGUAGCGAAAUGCGAUAAGUAGUGUGAAUUGCAGAAUUCAGUGAAUCAUCGAAUCUUUGAACGCACAUUGCGCCCCUUGGUAUUCCAUGGGGCAUGCCUGUUCGAGCGUCAUUUGUACCUUCAAGCUCUGCUUGGUGUUGGGUGUUUGUCUCGCCUCUGCGCGCAGACUCGCCUCAAAACGAUUGGCAGCCGGCGUAUUGAUUUCGGAGCGCAGUAAAUCUCGCGCUUUGACAACAAAACGACGACGUCCAAAAAGUACAUUUUUUACACUCUUGACCUCGGAUCAGGUAGGGAUACCCGCUGAACUUAAGCAUAUCAAUAAGCGGAGGA